GCAAUGCCGCGUGAGUGAAGAAGGCCUUCGGGUUGUAAAGCUCUUUUGUCAGGGAAGAAACGGUGGGAGCUAAUAUCUCCUGCUAAUGACGGUACCUGAAGAAUAAGCACCGGCUAACUACGUGCCAGCAGCCGCGGUAAUACGUAGGGUGCAAGCGUUAAUCGGAAUUACUGGGCGUAAAGCGUGCGCAGGCGGUUUUGUAAGACUGUCGUGAAAUCCCCGGGCUCAACCUGGGAAUGGCGAUGGUGACUGCAAGGCUAGAGUUUGGCAGAGGGGGGUAGAAUUCCACGUGUAGCAGUGAAAUGCGUAGAUAUGUGGAGGAACACCGAUGGCGAAGGCAGCCCCCUGGGUCAAAACUGACGCUCAUGCACGAAAGCGUGGGGAGCAAACAGGAUUAGAUACCCUGGUAGUCCACGCCCUAAACGAUGUCUACUAGUUGUCGGGUCUUAAUUGACUUGGUAACGCAGCUAACG
rnacentral:rRNA from 1 species